GAUGAACGCUGGCGGCGUGCCUAAUACAUGCAAGUCGAGCGAACGGACGAGAAGCUUGCUUCUCUGAUGUUAGCGGCGGACGGGUGAGUAACACGUGGAUAACCUACCUAUAAGACUGGGAUAACUUCGGGAAACCGGAGCUAAUACCGGAUAAUAUUUUGAACCGCAUGGUUCAAAAGUGAAAGACGGUCUUGCUGUCACUUAUAGAUGGAUCAGCGCUGCAUUAGCUAGUUGGUAAGGUAACGGCUUACCAAGGCAACGAUGCAUAGCCGACCUGAGAGGGUGAUCGGCCACACUGGAACUGAGACACGGUCCAGACUCCUACGUGAGGCAGCAGUAGGGAAUCUUCCGCAAUGGGCGAAAGCCUGACGGAGCAACGCCGCGUGAGUGAUGAAGGUCUUCGGAUCGUAAAACUCUGUUAUUAGGGAAGAACAUAUGUGUAAGUAACUGUGCACAUCUUGACGGUACCUAAUCAGAAAGCCACGGCUAACUACGUG
rnacentral:rRNA from 1 species